GCCUGUUUCAGGUAGCUGGUUUAACAUACUCUGAGUUUAAUCCUGCGCUCUGAGUUGGUUGACUCAGAGUUCAGGGUUGAAAAGCAACUCUGGGUUUUCGGUUUCAGAACAGGUGAUCAGCGUUGGGUUAAUCAACUCUGAGUAUGUUCACUCUGGGUUGAGGGCGUGCCUGUUGACUAUGAAAAGCCAUCAUCAAUGGAUCUCUGAUAACAUGAUCAAACAUGGACCAAAAGCGUAGAUCCACUUACUUUUCCCCACGGAAUUGGAAAUUCUAAUGAACGUGUAUGCCGAGCAGUUACCCAUUUUAACAAAAAAAAGCAAUACCGCCGCGGCAGCGAGAGCGCGAGAGAGAGCUUGGCAGGAAAUAGCUGAACAAGUCAAUGCGUGAGUCAAAUAAAUUAGUAAAAUAAAAUAAAAUAAGAGGAAAGUGUAAUAUCUUCCACUUAUUCAAUAUGUAAAUUGUGUGUGUGUGUGUGUGUGUGUGUGUGUGUGUCUGUGUGUGUGUGUGUGUGUGUGUGUGUGUCAAUUUACGCAACCCCGAGUUGCCCCACGAGGACUUGGCAGCAAAUGAAGUACAAAAAUAUAGUUUAAACAGCAAAUCGAAAAAAUGCAGAGGCCCGGCAGACUGGAGGGGGUCCACCACCUGCAGCCCUCAGAGGCUGAGGAGAUGGCCCUCAGCCAACAGAGUAUGCGUCCUGUGGCUGAGGGCAUCCCUGGGGGGAGCUCCUCUGAUCCCCCCCACCCCCCAGGAUAGAAGUGCCUUUACAGUAUAAGAGUUACUGAUGGCGUCAUCGCCCUACUUGAACCAGAUGCCCUCACCAACCUCCAUGCAAUUGUAACAAUUCAAAAGAUGCAAAAGGAUGCUUUGGAGAUCCACAUUUUGGAACAUAAGUUAUAGGAAAUAAAAAAAUCCUCAUAAUAA
ensembl:lncRNA